rnacentral:sRNA from 1 species
CUUUCCUUAGCUGGACAGCCCUUCAUCUCUCUGACUGGUCCAUCUCAGAGGACAAGCCCUGGAGACUCAGUGCCUUUCAACUGUACUGCUGUCCCCUUCAACUCCCAGGACUUCUCCCGGGACUUCAAUGUUACGUGGUUGAAGGACAGUGAUGAACAUCCAGCCUCAGCUCAGCGCCUGGUGCCUGACAAUGGAGGCAAUGACUUCAUCACCAGCAAGGCAUGGGUGACACUGACCCGACAGGAUGUCUCAUCUGAGAUCACCCGUGAAGUCACCCACAGGGCCCUGGCAGAGCCCCUGAAAACAACCAUGAAUCUCUCCCAAGUGCUCUGAGUUGUCCCCACCCUGAAGAUCACCACUGAAACCUCUGGGACCCAUGUACGUGUGCAAGACAGAGUGAAUGUCACCUGCCACGUCCUCCACUUCUAUCCCGCCCACCUGCAACUCACCUGGAUGGAGAACAGGCGCAUGAUCCAGACCCUGGUGUCCCCUCAGGCCACCAGAAAUCCAGAUGGGACAUACUCUCUGGAGCACACGUGGCAGGCAGAGGCCACGCUGCAGGAGCGUGAGUUUGCUUGCUGGGUUCACGAUGAGCAGCCCCCACUCAAGGCCAACGUCACCCUGCAAGCCCAG